rnacentral:lncRNA from 1 species
GGGCAGAUUUGGGGCACAGGGGGCUGGAUUUGGGGCACAGGGGGACAGAUUUGGGGGCACAGAUGAGAUGGAUUUGCGGGGCACAUGUGGGAUAGAUUUGGGGGGCACAGGGGGAUGGAUUUGGGGGGCACAGGAGGGCGGAUUUGGGGGGCACAGGAGGGCAGAUUGCGGGCAGGUGACCAUGGGGGGCUCUGUCACAGAGGAUUUGGGGGCCGAGGGUGACACCUGAGGACGCAGCGGGGCUGGCAGGGCAGACCUGGGGACACGGGCGCUGCCUCGGGGGUGACAUCGGUGACAUCACGGGGACACGGCCGAGGGGCAGGACCUGAGCUCGGCGUUCCCCCUGCGGGGCUGGGGACACCUGCCAGGUGCGGUGGCACCCGCGGUGACACAGGUGAGGGCUCGGGCAGGUGCCCGGGCUCACCGAGCCCGGAAUUCCCGGGAUUUUGGUUCUCCCGGGAUUUUUUUAUCCCGACGAGGCGCUCCCGUCCCGGUUGGGACAGCGGGGUGGCAGCCGGGGACAGGGACAGGCCACGCAGCCCUGGUGGCUUCCGGAGAGCUCCGGGUGUCGCCACCUGGGUGAGGGCUCGGGAACAAGGAGGUGGCACCGGGGACCCUCCUGGGGACAUCCCGGUGGCUGGCACAGGGCAGGGGACAUCUCGGGGACAUGCUGGGCAAAGGGUAGGGGACACCCUGGGGACAUCCCAGUGUCCUGGCACAGGACAGGUGACACCCCGGGGCCACCCCAGGGCCACCCCGGUGUCCUGGCACAGGACAGGUGACAUCCUGGGGACAUCCCAGUGCCCUGGCACAGGACAGGUGACAUCCUGGGGACACCCUGGGGACACCCUGGGGACAUCCUGGAGAGGUCCCAGUGUCCUGGCACAGGGCAGGUGACAUCCUGGGGACAUCCCAGUGCCCUGACACAGGACAGGUGACAUCCUGGGGCCACCCCGGUGCCCUGGCACAGGACAGGUGACAUUCUGGGGACAUCCCAGUGUCCUGGCACAGGACAGGUGACAUCCCAGGGAGGUCCCGGUGUCCUGGCACAGGACAGGUGACAUCCUGAGGAGAUCCCAGUGCCCUGGCACUGGACAGGUGACAUCCUGGGGCCACCCCGGUGCCCUGGCACAGGACAGGUGACAUUCUGGGGACAUCCCAGUGCCCUGACACAGGACAGGUGACACCCUGGGGCCACCCCAGUGCCACCCCGGUGUCCCGGCGGAGCUCCGGGCCCUUUUCCCUGGCAAGCUCGGAAAGGUUCGGAGACGGUCGAGGGUCAGGACGAAUCUCCCUGUCCUCCCCUCUUAGCACCACAAGAAUUUUUUGUUUAAUGCCUCCCUGGGGGUCUCGGCUUUUGGGACCACCGAGCCCUCCCCUCCCGGUCACCCCAGGGGACACGGAGGUGACACCGGGGACGCCGCUGCCUUCCCCCCUAAAACCCACCGGGCUCCGGCGUCCCCGCGGCCACCGCCAGCCCCAAAUUGGGGACACGACCCUCGGGGACCUCCCUGCUGAGUGCCUGGAAGACUCGGUGUGUCCCAAAACCCAAAUUUGGGGUUGGUUUAUUUUUAUUUUUAUAUUUUUUCUGUGUGUGUUAAUUUUUUUUUUUGUAAAUCUCUGAAUUUUAACAAAUCCAGAGCAUCUAAAAGGAGGUUUUUUUUUGAGGUGGGGGAGGGUUUUUAU